rnacentral:misc_RNA from 1 species
GGGAGUAAAAGUCGUAACAAGGUUUCCGUAGGUGAACCUGCGGAAGGAUCAUUAACAAAAUCUACAACACUAACCAUGUUGAAAAGUAACAGUGAGACCCUUUAGGGGGUGUCCAAGGGGGUGGUAUAAUGAUAUAGGUAUGUAUAUAUACAUACAUGUGUCGGACCACCUCUCGAGGGCACCACUUCAAAGGCUACCGCUUAGGCGCUAGUCUGGGAAAAGGGGGGUCUUGCUGGCAAGGCAAAGGGAGAGACUCUUCUAAGCUAAGCUUGUCUUAGAAAGGAGAGGGUAACCCUUU